CCCUAGUCCCGAUGGGAGGGAAAAUCCUUUUGUGGUGGGGUUCACCACAAAAGAUUGGAAGGAACAGCGGGAUCAGCU
rnacentral:sRNA from 1 species